UAUUUUAAUGCUCUUCUCCCUCAUAUUUUUCAGCCUGAACAGUAAAGUGUCGAACAGAUUCAUACCAAAAGCCACAUCAAUAAGCUUCAAAGUGUGUAUUGAUGUGCUACGACCCCAUAAUUUGCUAAAAUUCACACAUAGAACUAAAUAAACGUGUCAUAUCACAGACAAAAACCCCAAAAAUUAUAUCCAAGGUUUAGCGCACAAAAAAUUAUUUAGAAACAAAUAGAUAUGCUCAGUAUUUCCUAAAGGUUUAGGCACAAAAAAAAAUCUAUAGAAACAAAUAGAACUCUUACUCAUCAUGGAGAGAAUGGUGCACGUUGUGUUCUUUUGCUAGUUGGAGAGAGGGGUUAGGAUUUGCUGCCUCUUUUUGUUUUGGCUUCAUAUAGUUGUCCCAUGUGUUGAUGGUGUUUGUAAGUUACAAUUUACUGCAUGAAUGCUACAGUUAAUCCUUGUGAUAUACUUGUUUUGAAAUAUGUGUGUCUUCGAUUGCAGAUCAUGUUUUAAAGGACAAAAUUGUGGUAUAUGAUAUAGGCCGUCAGCGGUUGGGAUGGGCAGACUACAAUUGCUCGUUGCCUGUAAAUGUUUCUGUAGCUUUACAUGGGAGAUAUCCGAAUGGGAACAGCUCAUCUGGAGACCUAUUGUUCGAGCUGCUAAAUACUGGGAUUCUACUUCUCUUGAUGCAUUUAUUUAUCAUAUUUAUGUGAGACCCCGUAUACAUGUGGGUAGGUUUAUUAAUGAAUGAUGACAAUCGAAUUAGUAUUAAUUUUUUAUAAAAGAUUAGCGUAAGUGAGUUAAAUUGCUAUUUA